rnacentral:rRNA from 1 species
AUUGAACGCUGGCGGCAGGCCUAACACAUGAAAGUCGAGCGGAUGAAGGGAGCUUGCUCCUGGAUUCAGCGGCGGACGGGUGAGUAAUGCCUAGGAAUCUGCCUGGUAGUGGGGGAUAACGUCCGGAAACGGGCGCUAAUACCGCAUACGUCCUGAGGGAGAAAGUGGGGGAUCUUCGGACCUCACGCUAUCAGAUGAGCCUAGGUCGGAUUAGCUAGUUGGUGGGGUAAAGGCCUACCAAGGCGACGAUCAGUAACUGGUCUGAGAGGAUGAUCAGUCACACUGGAACUGAGACACGGUCCAGACUCCUACGGGAGGCAGCAGUGGGGAAUAUUGGACAAUGGGCGAAAGCCUGAUCCAGCCAUGCCGCGUGUGUGAAGAAGGUCUUCGGAUUGUAAAGCACUUUAAGUUGGGAGGAAGGGCAGUAAGUUAAUACCUUGCUGUUUUGACGUUACCAACAGAAUAAGCACCGGCUAACUUCGUG